UUUUGUUUGCAUCAGGUAUGGUGCUGCGCCAUGCAGCUAACUCAUGCAAAAGAGUGGAAAUCUAUAAAAAACAUCCAUAUUAGCGUAUUCAAGAAUCCAUCGACAUCCACUUUAGCAUAUACAAGAACCCAUGGACUUCUAUAAAUAACUAAAACUUAAAACAAGAGGCGUGUUGUAACGAAGCUGACAAGUCGUCUUCCCAUUUCGCCCAAUCAGAAUCGCCGUUAUCGAUGAUGUGUGCAGGUCUGACUCAUUACGUCACUUCCUUCCGCAACUAAGAGGUACCAGAAGUACGAAAAACAGAAGGUAAAUUUGAAGAGAAGUCAAGAUUCAUGUUUUCUGACAUCAAUUCCACGUGGUCUACAGAGAAGCUUAAGGUGAAACAGCAGCUGAAUUACUUUUCUUUUAUAUCAAUAAUUUCUUGAAUAUUAUUACAUCUUUUUAUGUUUUUAAUACAUUUUUUCUACAAUU